AGAUGAUUGUCGAUAUAGAGGAAAAAGACUUUCAGAAGAUUUUGGAUCCCGUCGCCGAUGCCGCUCCCGUCGCUGCCGGUUCUUUCGCUGCCGGUCGCGUCGUCACCGUCAAUUCCAUUCAUUCUGUCGCCGAUAGCCAAGGUCGUGGCCGCUUCCGUCACCACUAGUGGCCUCGCUGCCGAUCGCGUCGCCGACGUCGCCGCGUCCACUCAGCUAAACAGGAUAGCUCCCAUGCCUCCCGUCAUCGAUGACAUCGCCGCUAGUCAAUAGACGAAGUUACAGACCAAGAGGACGAAAGCGGGAAUAAGAAAACAACAAAAUCGCUUUAUGCGAGUUUUAUACCAACUGUCAUCUGCCCAGUAAUAUUGGAGCAAACGUGGAAGAAGAAAGAGGCAUUGAAUUUAUGUUUAUAUAUUAAAGUUGUUUAAAAUUUCUA